rnacentral:rRNA from 1 species
UGGGGAAUAUUGCACAAUGGGCGCAAGCCUGAUGCAGCCAUGCCGCGUGUAUGAAGAAGGCCUUCGGGUUGUAAAGUACUUUCAGCGAGGAGGAAGGCGUAGGUUAAUAACCUUGGCGAUUGACGUUACUCGCAGAAGAAGCACCGGCUAACUCCGUGCCAGCAGCCGCGGUAAUACGGAGGGUGCAAGCGUUAAUCGGAAUUACUGGGCGUAAAGCGCACGCAGGCGGUCUGUCAAGUCGGAUGUGAAAUCCCCGGGCUCAACCUGGGAACUGCAUUCGAAACUGGCAGGCUAGAGUCUUGUAGAGGGGUGGAUUCGAUGCUGUAGCGGGUGAAAUUGCGUAGAGAUCUGGAGGAAUACC